rnacentral:tRNA from 1 species
UGGUGGUUGGGCUGAAACGGGCGGUCACUUCGAUACGAACGGCGAUCGUGUAGCUGAUGGUGGCUUCUACACCAUGACGACGAAUGCGGACGGUUCUAUUAAUCAUGCUGGUAUUGAGAAGUUCGCAACUUCUGCCGUUGA